rnacentral:rRNA from 1 species
AUGCAGAUGCAGUGGCACUGCUUUUUGAAACGCUUUUGUUUGAACCGGUGGUUGAAUGGCUGUGAGUGGCCGGCACAAAGGGUGGGGCGGGCGGCGCUGGUCGCCGGCCGUUGGUACAGCCCUGCAUGUUGUACUCCCUCCGUCCCGAAAAACAUGUUGCGCUGGUGUUUUUGCAAUUUAGUCCUCAUUGUUUUCCCGACCAAACCCGCGGUCCUCGUCGUUCUCCUCAGUCCUCACUCGACUGACGCCCGCAGAUUUGCUCGCCCCCUCCCUCCCCAUGCCCCUGCCGCCUUGCUCCCCCUCCUCUUGCCCCCGCAUCCUUGCUCCCCCACACCCCUGCCGCCGCCGCCGCCUUGCUUCCGCCCCGCCGCCCCAUGCCGCUGCCUCGUUUCCCUCCGUCCGCCGCCCGCAGAGGAACGUGAAGAUUCAGUUUUUUUGGAGAAGACCGCCCAACGCCCAACGCCCGCUCUCCUUCCGCAUGUGCCCGUCGUCGACCACCUCCUCGCCGUCGACCACGAAGCUAGCACCCUCCAUGGAGGUUUUCGACCUGAGCAGUGGGAAGCACGUGUGCCCCUUUUCCACUUCCAAGCUGGAGCACUACGCGGCUUCACCGACAUCGAUUACAUCUCGCCGGAGCAUUACGCGGCUGCACCAAGGAGUCCGCCAGAGUCAAAGGUGUCCAUCAAGUAUGGAUGGGGUGGAGUAUGA